rnacentral:rRNA from 1 species
AGAUUGAACGCUAGCGGGAUGCUUUACACAUGCAAGUCGAACGGCAGCGCGGACUUCGGUCUGGCGGCGAGUGGCGAACGGGUGAGUAAUAUAUCGGAACGUGCCCAGUAGCGGGGGAUAACUACGCGAAAGCGUGGCUAAUACCGCAUACGCCCUACGGGGGAAAGGGGGGGAUUCUUCGGAACCUCUCACUAUUGGAGCGGCCGAUGGCAGAUUAGGUAGUUGGUGAGGUAAAGGCUCACCAAGCCUUCGAUCUGUAGCUGGUCUGAGAGGACGACCAGCCACACUGGGACUGAGACACGGCCCAGACUCCUACGGGAGGCAGCAGUGGGGAAUUUGGACAAUGGGCGAAAGCCUGAUCCAGCCAUGCCGCGUGCAGGAUGAAGGCCUUCGGGUUGUAAACUGCUUUUGUACGAACGAAAGUCUCUUCUAAUAAAGAGGAUCAUGACGGUACCGUAAGAAUAAGCACCGGACUAACUACGUGCCAGCCAGGCCGCGUAACU